rnacentral:lncRNA from 1 species
AAGAGAUAAGACUAGAGGCAGAGAUACUAGCUAAGAAGCUGUUGCAACAAUGAAAGAAGAAAUGAUGAGAACCUAAACUAAGGCAAUACUAAUAGAAGCAAAGAGAAGGGAAGAGAUUUCACAAGUUUAUAAGAAGAAAGUGGUAGGACUUGAAAGUUAAUUGGAUGUAAAGACCAAAGCAAGGGGCAGUCAAGGAUGGCUCCUGGAUUUCUGGCUUGAGAGACUAGGUGGAUGAAAGAGCAGGUAGAAUGAGAAAGAUGAUGCUUUCAGUUUGGGAUAGGUCAAGUUUUGGGUCCCUUAUAGGUCUUUCAGGGAGAAAUGUCUAGCAGGGAUUUGGAUAGAAAUGUCUGGCACUCAGGAGAAAUAGAGAUGAGAACACCAAAGACAGAAUAUAUGGUUCUUCUAGAAGAUCCACUUUCAAUUUUACUAAAGUGAAUGACCCACUUUGAUGAAAAGAAUAAUGACUUCUAAGGUCUCUUACAACUCUAAUGUUACAAUUCUAUUGUUCCAUCUGGAAUUGCCUUUUGAAGACAGCACACCUGUGGCCUAAAACUUCCUUGGUGAACAUGUGAAAUAUUUUUUAAUGAAAGCCCAUUACAUAUAAAGCCAUACAACCCCAAACAUGCAGUGAUAAUGCUUAUAGCAAAGAAAAACCAAGUAAAGACACUAUCUACAUUUACCUACUCUGAUCCCAAUUGGCUGCAAACAGCAAAAGAAUCUUCCUGCCGUAAUGGUCUCGGUUUUCCAGCACCCCGGGGAACCCAUCGAUCAGAGCCCUCUUAAUGCCGGGAUCAUCUGCCUUGAAGUUUUUGAACAUGUCCAGGUUUAGCUGGCGGUACUGGAAAUACUGAGCCAGGAGUCUAAAGGCAUCCGCUUGGUGAAACUUCCUGGCUCGGAGAAAUCUCAGGAUGAAGGCAUCAUCUGGAUCCUGCAAUAGACAGAAGAAAGAUAAUUCCCUGGGAAGUGCUGAGCAGAUCCAUGUAACCGUGACCCUUCUUCUGGAUGUGAUUGCACAGACAAUGGCAGCAGUGGGAAUCACAGCUAAGAAAACUGCCUGGGAAAAGUAAAACACAUCAGCAAGCUUAAGGGGUGGUCCAUGCAUCAGCAGUGGCAGCAGAACCCAGGACCUUGUUAGUGACACAGCAUGUCAGGACUCACUUAGACCUACUGAACAGCUGGCAUCAAGACUUUUAUAUUGGAGGAGCCAAGAUGGCCGAAUAGGAACAGCUCCGGUCUACAGCUCCCAGCGUGAGCGACGCAGAAGAGGGUGAUUUCUGCAUUUCCAUCUGAGUUGUUUUUCAGAAACCCCAAUUCCCACCAACUUCAGAUCUCCAUUCCUACCAACUUCAGCUCUGCUGGUAUGUGGACAUCAGAGAAGGGGGAACUGGAAACUGAACUCUGACCAUAUCAUUCUGUGUUCUAAAUGUCUUCCUGAGGGGCCUGGAGGAAGUUACACUCACAAGCCAGAGCUAACAUUCUUUUCUGCUGACCCCAAAUUUUAAAAUAAAGCUUCUCUUCCUUAAC